GAUGAACGCUGGCGGCGUGCCUAAUACAUGCCAGUCGAGCGAACAGACGAGGAGCUUGCUCCUCUGACGUUAGCGGCGGACGGGUGAGUAACACGUGGAUAACCUACCUAUAAGACUGGGAUAACUUCGGGAAACCGGAGCUAAUACCGGAUAAUAUAUUGAACCGCAUGGUCUAAUAGUGAAAGAUGGUUUUGCUGUCACUUAUAGAUGGAUCCGCGCCGCAUUAGCUCGUUGGUAAGGUAACGGCUUACCAAGGCAACGAUGCGUAGCCAAGCUGAAAGGGUGAACGGCCGCACAGGCACAGGGACACGCUGCAGACUCCUACGGGAGGAAACAGUAGAGAAUCUUCCGCAAUGGUCGGAAGCAUGACGGAGAAACGCAGCGGGAGUAAUGACGGUAUUCUGAUCCUAAAACUCUGUUAUUAGGGAAGAACAAAUGUGUAAGUAACAAUGCAGGUCUUGACGGUACCGAAUCAGAAAGCCACGGCUAAGUACGUG
rnacentral:rRNA from 1 species